rnacentral:rRNA from 1 species
AUUGAACGCUGGCGGCAGGCCUAACACAUGCAAGUCGAACGAGUGGCGGACGGGUGAGUAAUGUCUGGGAAACUGCCUGAUGGAGGGGGAUAACUACUGGAAACGGUAGCUAAUACCGCAUACCAUCGGAUGUGCCCAGAUGGGAUUAGCUAGUAGGUGGGGUAACGGCCCACCAAGGCGAUGAUCAGUAGCCUGUCUGAGAGGAUGACCAGCCAAACUGGAACGGAGACACGGUCCAGACUCAUACGAGAGGCAGCAGUGGGGAAUAUUGCACAAGGGGGGCAAGCCUGAGGCAGACAUGCCGCGUGUAUGAAGAAGGCCUUCGGGUUGUAAAGUACUUUCAGCGGGGAGGCGUUACCCGCAGAAGAAGCACCGGCUAACUCCGUGCCAGCAGCCGCGGUAAUUC